rnacentral:rRNA from 1 species
CGCCUGUUUAUCAAAAACAUCUUUUCUUGUUAGUUUUUGAAGUAUGGCCUGCCCGCUGAUUUUAGGUUGAAGGGCCGCGGUAUUUUGACCGUGCAAAGGUAGCAUAAUCAUUAGUUCUUUAAUUGUGAUCUGGUAUGAAUGGCUUGACGAGGCAUGGGCUGUCUUGGAUUAGGAUUGUUUAUUGAAUUUGGUUUUUGAGUUAGAAUUCUUAAAUGUUUUUAUGGGACGAGAAGACCCUAUAGAGUUUAACAUUUGUUUAUAUAGCUUUUUUGGUUUGUUUUGUAGUUGCUUUGUGUUAAUGUUUUGUUGGGGUGAUGGGAAGAAUUUUCUUAACUCUUCUUUAUUUUGGUAUAUUGAUUUAUAUUGGUUUUGAUCCAUUUAUUUUGAUUAUAAGAUUAAAUUACCUUAGGGAUAACAGCGUAAA